rnacentral:rRNA from 1 species
UACGAAGGGGGCUAGCGUUGCUCGGAUUGACUGGGCGUAAAGGGCGCGUAGGCGGUUUGUACAGUCAGACGUGAAAUUCCCGGGCUCAACCUGGGGGCUGCGUUUGAUACGUGCAGACUUGAGUUCGGAAGAGGGUCGUGGAAUUCCCAGUGUAGAGGUGAAAUUCGUAGAUAUUGGGAAGAACACCGGUGGCGAAGGCGGCGACCUGGUCCGAUACUGACGCUGAGGCGCGAAAGCGUGGGGAGCAAACAGG